rnacentral:rRNA from 1 species
CGAGCGGUAGAGAGAAGCUUGCUUCUCUUGAGAGCGGCGGACGGGUGAGUAAUGCCUAGGAAUCUGCCUGGUAGUGGGGGAUAACGUUCGGAAACGGACGCUAAUACCGCAUACGUCCUACGGGAGAAAGCAGGGGACCUUCGGGCCUUGCGCUAUCAGAUGAGCCUAGGUCGGAUUAGCUAGUUGGUGGGGUAAUGGCUCACCAAGGCGACGAUCCGUAACUGGUCUGAGAGGAUGAUCAGUCACACUGGAACUGAGACACGGUCCAGACUCCUACGGGAGGCAGCAGUGGGGAAUAUUGGACAAUGGGCGAAAGCCUGAUCCAGCCAUGCCGCGUGUGUGAAGAAGGUCUUCGGAUUGUAAAGCACUUUAAGUUGGGAGGAAGGGCAGUAAAUUAAUACUUUGCUGUUUUGACGUUACCGACAGAAUAAGCACCGGCUAACUCUGUGCCAGCAGCCGCGGUAAUACAGAGGGUGCAAGCGUUAAUCGGAAUUACUGGGCGUAAAGCGCGCGUAGGUGGUUCGUUAAGUUGGAUGUGAAAUCCCCGGGCUCAACCUGGGAACUGCAUUC